UGAGGAAUUUUGCGCAAUGGGGGAAACCCUGACGCAGCAACGCCGCGUGAGUGAUGAAGGCCCUUGGGUCGUAAAGCUCUGUCGAGUGGGAAGAACUUGAUGGAUGAUAAUACCAUCCUUCACUGACGGUACCACUAAAGGAAGCACCGGCUAACUCCGUGCCAGCAGCCGCGGUAAUACGGAUGGUGCGAGCGUUGUUCGGAAUUACUGGGCGUAAAGGGCGCGUAGGCGGCCUGUUAAGUCAGAUGUGAAAGCCCACGGCUCAACCGUGGAAGUGCAUCUGAAACUGGCAGGCUUGAGUACUGGAGAGGAAAGUGGAAUUCCUGGUGUAGAGGUGAAAUUCGUAGAUAUCAGGAGGAAUACCGGUGGCGAAAGCGGCCUCCUGGACCGAUACUGACGCUGAGACGCGAAAGCGUGGGGAGCAAACAGGAUUAGAUACCCUGGUAGUCCACGCGGUAAACGAUGGGCACUAGGUGUGGGGGGUAUCCACUCCUCCCGUGCCGAAGCUAACGCAUUAAGUGCCCCGCCUGGGGAGUACGGCCGCAAGGUUA
rnacentral:rRNA from 1 species